AGUGAACGCUGGCGGUAGGCCUAACACAUGCAAGUCGAACGGCAGCACAGUAAGAGCUUGCUCUUACGGGUGGCGAGUGGCGGACGGGUGAGGAAUACAUCGGAAUCUACUUUUUCGUGGGGGAUAACGUAGGGAAACUUACGCUAAUACCGCAUACGACCUACGGGUGAAAGCAGGGGAUCUUCGGACCUUUCGCGAUUGAAUGAGCCGAUGUCGGAUUAGCUAGUUGGCGGGGUAAAGGCCCACCAAGGCGACGAUCCGUAGCUGAUCUGAGAGGAUGAUCAGCCACACUGGAACUGAGACACGGUCCAGACUCCUACGGGAGGCAGCAGUGGGGAAUAUUGGACAAUGGGCGAAAGCCUGACGCAGCAAUACCGCGUGAGUGAAGAAGGCCUUCGGGUUGUAAAGCUCUUUUGUUGGGAAAGAAAAGAAGCAGAUGAAUACGCCGAUGUUCUGACGGUACCCAAAGAGUAAGCACCGGCUAACUUCGU
rnacentral:rRNA from 1 species